UGGAGUCGUGGUUGCUACGAAGUACAAUGGCAAAAGAAUACAUCGCGACAUAGAGUCAUAAACAGGAGCCCGUACGAAGCUCUACUUGGACCGAUAAAAAGCGGCAUAAGAAAUACAUCUUUGCCUGAUGAAAUUUUAAAUUCGCUUCAGACAGAGGAAGACUUGGAGCAAGCUCUGGAGGAGCAGAAUGUACAAUUGAACGCGAGUGUUGAGCAGUGCGAAGACG